UCCAUGAGCAGCUCAGCAGGGUGGCCUCCAGCUUGACCUGUCCUGAGGUUGCAGUCAAGCUGUUGGUGGGGCAUGCAGUCCUCUGAGGCAGCAUUGCUUCCAAGCUGACGGUGGUUUUAAGAUCAGGCCACUCAAGAUGGCUGCUCUCUUGCUCUGUCCACAUCAGCAGUCCCCAACCACUUUGGAACCAGAGACCAGUUUCCUGGAAGACAAUUUUUCCACGGAUAGGGGGGCAGGGGCGGGGCUUCAGAAUAAUUCAAGUGCGUUACAUUUAUUGAGCUCAUUGAGCAGGAAGCAGAGCUCAGGCAGUAACUGUGAAGACAAAGCUUCUGUUGCUUGUUGGCCUCUCACCUCCUACUGUGUGGCCAGGUCUAGGCUGGGGAAAAGAAAGUGUUAGUGGCUCAGUCGUGUCCCACUCUUGGCAACCCCGUGGACUGUAGCCUGCCAGGCUCCUCUGUGCAUGGGAUUCUCCAGGCAAGAAUACUGGAGUGGGUUGCCAGGCCCUCCUUCAGGAGAUCUUCCCAACCCAGGGAUCAAACCUGGGCCCCAGAUUCUUUACGUCUGAGCCACCACCAGGGAACCCCUGCUCAAUAAGUCCCAGCCUCCUCUACACCCUCAUCACAUGACUGACCUUCUGUCUUAGUCACAGAGUCUAAUCUGUAAAUGCCUCCUUGCGCCAGGCCCCAGGUGCUGAUUGUUCUAAUCAUUAGAUCAGACCCCUCUACUCAGUUUAAAAGGAGCGGGCUUUCUGCUGGUUUUCCUGGUAACUGAUGAGCACACCUGAUGUCAGUUCCCUUGUAACUGGUAACCUCCCUUUGCCCCUGCUACCAAAGACUGCACGUCUUGCCCUGGUGUCUUUGCUGCUGUCUAUCGACUUGAUGGGGUGUUGCUCCAGGAUCCUGCUUCAGAUAAAUAAGCUCCCCCAUCCAUUAAAACAUUAAUGUCCCUGUUGCUGCCUUAGAGCUCUUUCUUCAGUCUUGAGGCUGGUAGGUGUGGCGCAAGGUCUGAGGACAACUUCUCAGUGAUCCUUGAAACACCUGACACCAGUCAGGACCACACUGACAGCCACAGAGCCAGAUGGUUACCAAAGUCCACUCCUGUGCAGCCAUCUGCAGUCCGCUAGAUCUUCAGUAAAGGAGUAGAGACACCCCCAGGAGGUUGAGACAAGAGACCCUGCAUGCUACUGGGGACACUGGAGGAUUGGCGGUGCCUGCACUGGUGUUGCACGGGGUGCCUAUCAGUGCUUUAGGACCUGAGUCUCAUUCUCCAGGAUCCCCUGGCACCAGAAAAUGGUUUCCAAACUGUGGAUGACUCUAUUGGUUGACUGUGCUAAGAUUGCUUCCUGUGCAGUAUUUGCUGAGUGGAGGUGCUGAAUAACUUGAAAAGUACAGCUCCUCAUGCAGUUAAAUGAGUUCGUGGUAACAGAUGCCUGAAAGGAUGAGGGUUAUAGAUACCUCUGCUGGGUAAUCCCUUUGGAAGUCCCCAGAAAUUUCCUUGGUCAGAUCUAGAGCCCUGUUAACUGUAUCAGUGCUGAGUAGCUGGAGGAAAUUAUGACUGUGCUGUCUUCACAGUUCUAGCUACCAUGAUCUCACUCUAUAUUUUUUGACUGACUACUAUUAAAAAAAGUAGAUGGCUUUUUGACUGGUAAUUGGAUAAUUGGGUAAACUUCCAAUCAAAGAGUAGAUUGUAGAUUGAAAGCAGAAGAG
ensembl:lncRNA